ensembl:lncRNA
AAAAAUAAUAGGCAGGGCUAUAAAUUAAAGAAAGAGAGAAAGAAAAAUGGGAUGAUAUAACGCAUCCUGCGGUAAUCAAUUUUACCUCCAAUAUCUGCUUUUUUUUUUUUUCAAAAUGCUAAAUAAACAAUACAUAAUGCAUCCCUCAUCAGCCAAAACCAUGAGGGCUCUGUGCUCAAAUAACAGGAAACAUAUUCAAUUUUCCUAACAGAAGACAGUUCAUUAAGCUGUGCCACAUCAAAUAAAACUUUAAUUUCUCCAGCAUCGGAGUCGCAAUGAAAGCAAUUGAGGAAGAUGAGCCAUAUGGUACUUCUAUCAGCAAACACAUAUUGCUCAUUCCCCCAAAGUUUUCUAAUUCUGCUCCCCAGACCUGUGUAAUAUAGAUAAUGUGCUCUGAGCGCAGCAACCAUGAGCUAUCUGGUGUACACUUCUAAUACUGUAUUUAAUGGGAAAUAAUGAAUCAUAAAAGCCUUGCAGAAGACGGCUUUUGCUAACCUAAAUCUCAGCUGUAAUUUCAUUGUUCUGUGCCUAAGAUGCCGCUUGCCCUUUUCAAACAACAGCGGUUGAACAUAAUUAUGCCGCUGCAAACCUGGGCUGCAAAAAGCGCGGCUCCUGGCCCCACCAACUUCCAUUAACUCCUGAAGCCCCGCGCCGGGGUGUCCGGGUGCGGCAGCCGGCUCCCAGGGGUCAGGGCAGCGCUCCGAACCUCUUCCUCUCCAAUCUGGCCCCAAAAUCGCCACAGGAGGAGGAUAUGAAAAAUUAGGAGAUCUGCUUGACAUCGGGAAAUCCGACACUUGUCUGCUCUAACAUCUCUAAGUACCAAAGCCGUACAGCGUAGUAAGAGGUGGAUUUUUUACGUGUAUAUAUAUAUUUUUUCCCCUAAAAGGGGAAGAAUCUGAAGUGGAUCAACCAGGCCCCAGAGGAAGCCGCACGGAAAAACACAAAUAAUAUCAAUAUCGCGCAGCCACGGGAAACAAUGGGGCAGCGCUCGGCGUGACAUGCACGCCGCUAUUGUUUCAAGAGCUGGGGAAUUAAUUCCACUUAUUUAUUUAAGGCGUGUCAACUCGCUGCCUAAACCUGUUUCGGUGUCAAGAUGAAUAAAACUUUUAUGGCUCAUAAAAUAGAGCCAUUCAUCUCAAUGUUCUUUGUGGUGCCUGUUGUUUUUUUUUUUUUUUCCUCUCCCCCCGGCAGGCUGAGCCUGGCAGCUCGGUGCUACUGGCUCGCUCGCACCGGCACUGCGCUUGGUUGGCACCUGGAGUGGGUAAUAUCCCCACAUUUCUGCUGGGUCUUAUUCUGCAUGAGCAGGAAUGUUGAUGCACAAUGCCCAUGCUCUGAGUUCUGCUAUUCUCUGGCACACGGUACAGCUCAAAAAGUAGUGAUGGAAAUGCACGAUCAGACAAUGGCAACAGCAGCGUGGUCACGUUCCUAUUGCAUCCGCUGCUUUGCUGCUGCUUUUCCUUGGGCUUUGGAAUGAGCAGCACUAUGUGCACAUAGGAUGGGCAUUGCGGGUGCCACGAGGCCUCAUUGCCACGAGGCCCCCUUCCCUAUCCCGAUCCUCAGCCCCACAAUGAAUUCACAUCACCUACGGAGCUUUGGACCAACAGGUAAUAAACUCCAAUAAAGCAUGCUUUUUAUCAGGGAGAAAAAAAAAUCCCAUUAAUUAUAGUUCAUGACUACUCUAAACCAAAUGUUCAAAUAGUAGUUGGAAAUGAUGCAUAAAAUCUCAGCAUGUUCUGAUAGGUUAUAGAGUCGGUGGUUUAUUGCAAUGUAAAACAAGCCACAGGAAGAGAGGGUGGUUUUGUUUACCAUUUUCAUCAAAGCUGUUCAUCAUGUUGAUAUACUUAUGCUAUGUUGUGACCCCUACGUAUGUUGCGUUUCAUGUGUUUAUUUUGCAG